CAACAAAGAUCCCGUUCUCAUGCAACUGUCUCUAGUAAUCAAAUGGAAGAAACAAAAUACAGAAGAUGAUGUCACUAAUUCCACAAACACUAAAAUACCACAAUUUGAGGCCCUGUGGUUGGAGGUUCAGGUGUGACCCCAGACUUGCUGCUGUGCCAAGACUUCUUUGCAGAAAAGGUAAAUUUGCUUUGCCAUUUCGGGCUGAGCUGCCGUGCUGGGAUUGUUUCUAAAUUCCUGCACACUCCCGUGUGUCCAAAGGCAGGUCCAAGGGGAUGAGGAGCUUUCCCAGUCUUUUCCAGUGUUAUUUUGUGGAAGAGUCAGUAGAUGGAGCUGUGACCCAUGGAAGGUCCCACCGUUUACCAACGGGGUGCGUGCUAAAUAAUAGUAUUUAUGUGCCAGUAUGUCCCUGCCCCAAAAAUCCUGCGGGCAAGGAAUUUGGAUGACUUCAGGCUUGCACGGCUACGUGGGGUUAGCAGGCACUUCACAAAUGUGCAGGAGAAGUUGCUUUGCUGGUGCUUUCCUUGCCAUCAGAAAGCAGGCUGGAAGAGGGGAUGGGAAAUGCUUGGGCAAAUAUCCCCUUGGCUUCAAGGACAGAUUUUUAUUUUCCACCAUGUGCCUUUAGAAUCUUGUCGGUUUUAGCUGAAGUGUUUAGAUAGCUCCUAUCAUUGUAGUGAUUUCAAGGACUCUACAACACCAGACAAUACAAGCCAGUGAAAAGUCCUUGGAAAAACACCUUGGAAAAAGAUCAAGAAAGCUACAAUAAAAUAAAAAUAAACAAAUAAAAGAAUCCCAAAGCAAAACAAAAACCCUCUGAGAACACAGUGUCAUUAGGGAUUCUUCAUAAAGAAGGGGAAAGUGUCAAGGUGUAGAGGUGAGCUGUGAUUUACAGAAAUGGAAUCCAAGGGGAAAACCAUGGUGCAGCUGGAGUGUGUUUUGGGGUGCUGGGUGGGCAGCUGGGCUCAGCUGUUCACAUCUCCCAAAAGUGCUGCUGUAAAUCCCUGGAGUCUGAGAGCUGCUGGGAGAUGGUGGAUGGGCUGGGGCUGUGUGGGGUUGUGGGGCAGCAUCCCCCCAGAGCUCUGGGGUCAGAGUGGGGAUGUGGCAGUUCUCUCCUGUGCUCUCUGCCCCUGUUCCCCAACCUCUCUCCACACCUUGAGUCCUGUGUCCAGCUCUGGACCCACCACUUCAGGAAGGACAUUGAGGGGCUGGAGGGUGUCCAGAGGAGGGAACAGAGCUGGGGAAGGGGCUGGAGCACAAGUCCAUGGGCAGAAAUUGAGGGAGCUGAAGGUGUUUAGCCUGGAGGAAAGGAGGCUCAAGAGAAUCCUUGUGCCUUUCCUCCCUGGCAGGAGGGUGCAGCCAGGGGGAUGUCAGGCUCUGCUGUCAGGGAACAGGGACAGGACAAGAGGAAAUGGCCUCAAGGUGUGCCAGGGGAGGUUUUGGAUACUAGGAACAAUUUUUUCACCAAAAGGGUUCUCAAGCACUGAUAAAAGCUGCACAGGGCAGUGGUGGAAUCUCCAUCCCUGGAGGGAUUUAAAAACCAUGAGGAUGUGGUUCAGUGGUGACCAUGGCAGUGCCGGGGGAAUGGCUGGGCUUUCCCACCCUAAACAAUUCUGUGACUCAGGUCACUCUUGGCUUAACCAGUGCUGGAAAGUGCAGAGAAUUUUUCUCAUUUAAGACAAUCUCACUGUUCUGGGGAUCCAAACUCAGAGGAAGAGAAGCACAAACCUACCCUGCCUUGUGCCUGUGUCAGUGGCCCUGUGUGGCUGUGAGCUUGCUGAAGGGAUGAAGCAGCCUCCUGAGAUUCAGUUGCAGAAACAGAGCUUCCAGAGUGUAGACUCUGCAUGCAGAACAACCCAGCCUGAAGUGAUAAUCCCAGGCUCAGCCCCGAGGGAAUGCCUGACAUUGCUCUGGCCUGAUUUUCCUAAUGGCUCUGCAACUUGCCUCUGGUUUGCAGGUGGUUUAAAUUGUUAUCGCUGAGCACCUUGCCCAGCUUGGGCAGAGCUCUUGGGAUCUCUGAUCCUCUAGAAUACCUACCUGUCUUGAUUUAAUUUAUAUUAAUUUUUUUUAAACUUCUUCCUCCCUCCCGAUUUUAGGUGCAAUUGGGGCUUGUGGCAGCUUAGCAGACUCACUGCAAAGGGGUGCAAACGCAGCCUGAGCUCCCUGCUGACACAGAGAGGGAAGAGUGGGAGACCUGCAGUUCCAGCUGCUCCUCCUGCCUCCUCUGAACAACCCUUCCUUGCCCCCAUCCUGCAUGAUCAAUACCCAGGCCAUCCCCUUCCCUUGCCCUGGAGAACUGGAAUUUUUCCUUGCCUAAUAACCUGUGUCUG